rnacentral:lncRNA from 1 species
GUUUGGUUUGCCAUCACUUUUUGUGACUUUUCUGACAUCUGCAAGUGUCGGAAGUGUGACCUGAAACAUUUAAGGACACUUCUGCCUGAACCAUGGGCAGAUGUUUAGACUCCAAGAUACAGAGGAGGAGGGUCUUGGAGGUUUCUUAGUAUAAGUUCCUCCCUGUGGUACUUGCAGUUCCUACAAGGGGCUGUCAGAGAAACAAGCCGGAGCAGAAGAGCAAGACAUGGUCCUGGUGCAUGAAAGGAGCCUAAGAAAGAAGAGUGAAAGCUGCACGUGUGUGAGUAUCUAGCAGAACAUCUAGAAAAUGCACACCAACCUCCAGCAGCAGAAAACAGUCUACCUCCAGAAAGCCAUAAAAGAGAAAAGAAUGUUGUACCAAACUAAGCAAAUGAAGCAUGAAAUGAAAAGCCGGUUGAGCUGGGAGGUAUAAAGAAUGGAAAGGAAGCAGCUACCACCCCUGGUAACCCCAUCAAUCCGGAGAAGCUUCGCAGAGUUACACUGUGCUCUGUCGGGAAGGAAAUGAAUUUUCCUCAUUGUACACAUUCCGAGAAAAAUGAGGCUAAGACUAUUUCAAAGGAUGUUCUACCUAAUUCGAAUGGGCUUUAAGUGCCAUCUUCACAAUAGCGCCAGAGUCUGGUGUCAGCAAACUGAACAAAUAGAGCUACAGGGAGCGAAUGGGGCUGGGUGCCUCUCCAAAACAUAUGCAGAUGAACUUGAGAUUUCAGAGGACGGUUAAUCCUACACAGCAGUCAAGUGCCUUCCCAGGGGUAUGUCUCAGAUCUCAGGGCUCCCUUCCAAACACUGGCUGCCACGUCAAACCAAAGGGGACGAGCAAUCAGACUCACCUCAAACGCCAGUUAAGAAAGCCGGCCUUACUUAAGCAAUCAAGGGCAAGUGAUCAGCCAACUCUGCUUUCUUUCCUUUCUCUUGGAUCAUUUAUAGACCUUGUGGCCGUGGCCACCACAUUGAGAAGCCCUUGGUCUCUACUUGGACUCACUAUAGCAGGU